UGUGUGCUUAUAAUGUAAAUGCACUAUUGAAAGACACAUUUUUUAAAGGAGAAUAAAGAUUAUUAUUAUUAUUUUAAACUCUUCUAUUAACUAAGCAAACUCUGUUCUCACUUCCUCCCAAAAUUGUUGUUGACCUCCUUCUGUCGUAGAACAGCUCUGGUUCCUCUGGUAGAACACUUUUUCAUGUGACUGUGGAGCCUAUUAUCUAGAGACAUUCCCAUCUACAUGCAUUUCUGUUUAAGGUGGCAUUCACUUUGGUGGCAGAGGAGCCAGACAUUUUUUGUUUGGCAAACUUUUCUUCCAGAGCUGAGGGCAAUGAUUCUUCGCUGUCCAUAGCUUUCUUGGUCACCAUAUUUCUCUAUAUAUACGCGGUGAGUGCUAUGUUUUCCCAGUACCAGUAGUCAGCAUCAAUGUUCACUGUUUUGAGGUCCAUGUAGAUUACAUUCACAUAUCAGAGGUGGAGACGACGACCAGUUGUUUUUCCUAUAAAUUCAAUGUGUCUUUAUUAAUUCUGUGGUAUUCAUCUUAAAAAAAAAAUUUCAAUAGAAUUCACUUGGUUACUUGACAGGGCAUGAUAAACAGAACCAAACUUCCAAGUCAGACAACUCUCCUAUGGAUAGCUCUGAUAACAAAGUUGUUAAACAUAAUAUGCCUAUCAUUGUCGGUGCUUCGCUGGGUGGAGCCAUUCUGGUCGGACUCUUAGUUUGGCUAGUCAUGUACUAUCAGCAGCGUCGCCGCAGGCAGAUGUUGGGGAUCUCCUCAGACGAGAGCAGGACGCCCAUGCUAAGUAGUCAAGAUGAGGAUAAUCUUAUCAUGUGAUUACAUUCCAGGAGCUCAGUUUAAUUACUUGAUUUCAUUCCAUUUCGUUGAUGUUUCUACUGUUUAUACCUAUGUACCAAAUGUUUUUUUAAACUCUUUUUUUUUGUACACUGUAGACCUAUAAUUAACUUGCUUAUAGGUUUCUUUUAUUUUUUCCCAAAAAAUGUCCUCUUCUUUUUGAGAAGCUUUUUUUCUUAUAUGUAGAUCUGGUUCUAUUUCACCAAUAGGUUUCCUUUUUUUUUACAAUAAAAACUGUAUAGACUGUUUAAUUUAACUGCAUUUCCACUUUGGCUUUCUUUUGUAACUUGAAAUAAUAUAUUGAAAAUUGGAAUAUGAUACAUAUGUAGUAUUGUAGGGAACAAUCUUUAACAAAUAACCAAUGACAAGCCUUUAUCAGUUGUGUAAUAUUUUCAAAGCAUAAUAGCAUACUAUUCUAAAAGAGAUUUAAGUUAGCUAGGGAUUUUUGUAUUAACAAGACAUGAGUGACAUGUUAUAUUUAAACAAGAAUAUAUUCACAAAUGUUAUUUGUAUAUUUUUUACUUCAGUUUUAAAAUUCAAUACAGCUUUAUUUUCUAGUAGCUAGAUAUUCUAAAUUUGAUUAACUCCCUUGGCUUGACUAGCUCCCUUGUUUGUAUCUUACUAUGCAUGUAGUCCUGGUAAAAAAGAUACAUGACUAUUACUUAUUUGGAUAGCAUCCUUUUUUAAAAAAACUUUUUUAGUAAGUCUUUUUUUUGUUGCUUUCGAAUGAAUAGUAAAGAAGCUUUGUUGUUGUAAAAAAUAUGUAAAAUAUUACAUAUACAUAAUGGGUUCAGCAGAAUUAUUAAGACUAUUUAUUAUACUGUGUUAUGAGUUUUUUGUUGCAAUCUCAUAUUCCACAAUUUUUUUUUUUUGGAGGGAAAGGAAGCAGGAUGGUUCCCUUUUAUUAUACGUUCUGCUUGAUUAACUCUUUCUCUCCGUAAUUAUUUACCACAUUCUGUUGGAAUCAACGUUGGUAUCGUCAGUUAGGAGAGAAAGAGUUAACAUUCUAAGGAAAUAAACUUCGUCAGUUAUUGUGUAUUGUCAUACACUUAAUGUUUUGCUUCACAGCCUACCAUUUCCUCAAGUGAACAUUCCAUAAAGUUCUGUUAUAUUUUAGGAGGGGGGGGGAUGCGUUAUUCCUUUAUUUUUGUUUUAUUUGUGAAACCGACUUUUUGGGUUCUUUCAAUCAAUCGCAGCACAUGGAUAAAAAUGUCUUUCAAGCUAACUUGUUGAUGUUGUGGAUCUUUGUAUGAUCGUUCAUUUAAUGCUGUCAUGGUGGACUCAAUGGAUUUCUCUUACUAUGUUGUGACUGACACACCUUGAUGUCUUUUUGGAACUAAAUGUUUGUGUAGCUAGCACAUAGUGUGUUUCAUUUAUCAAAAAGUUUUGUCCAGCACACCAUGAUGUAUAAUUUAACCAAAAAGUUUUGUAGCUAGCACAAAAUGGUGGUUUUGUUUAAAAACUAAAUGUUUAGCCGCUAGCACACCAUGAUGUAUUAUUUAACAAAAAAAAUGUGUGGCUAGCACACCGAGAUGUACUAUUUAACUAAAAGUUGUUUGGUUAUCACACCAUGAUGUAUUAUUUAACUCUGAAAUAUGUUAAAGCUGACAUACCUUCAUGAGUCUCAACAUCUACAAGUGUUAUAGCUGAGCUUAUCGUGAUGUUAUGUUGAAAACGUCAUGAUGUCAUGUUGAAAACCUCUCUGAUGAUGCAGAGCAUCACAUCACUCAGAGUUUUAUUGAUUCUCAUCUCUUUGUUGUCAUUAUAAUGUAAUUUUAUUGUUGCAACAUAUAGUGAUGCAUCUCUCAAUCCUCUAAGCCACAACCCAAACUUCUGUUGACACUUGCAAUUCAAAGUCUCUUGUGAGCUCCCUUUAUCUACCUUGGAUAUCUCUUUAAAGCCAACUUUACAUCUUGCCACCAAUUCAACAUUUUUAAUAAAAUUAGUAUUUUAUUAAUUUGUUUACGUCAGUAUUCUCAUAGUAUUUUGACGUAUGCGACUAUAUAUGAUAAUGUCAUUCACCUGUGAAACUAAAAACUAUAUUUUUCUUAGAAGAUUAUAUUUCAGUAAUCUACAAUCUUGCAAGUAAACAGCGAGUAUAAUUUAAAAAGAGAUUUGGUUUACAAAAAAUGAUUAUUUUAUACAUUUAUUGGAGUAGGUGUAUAAAAUGUGUGCACACUGAACCAAUCCUAAAUAAAUCUAUUUGAACCGAUGUGAAUAAAAGCUAGUCAUUGUUGAUCCAUUGCUUUAUCAGAAACUUUGAAAUUCUUUCUAGCUCAGUGCAAACUUACUUCUUGCUCAAGCUCGUGAGACCAAGUGAGACCAAGCGUACUGUAUUAAAGACGAGCUCUUGACUAUUCUGUAGAGCAGUGUUUCCUAAAUUGUGUUCAGCGGAAUACUAAAAGGUGUUCCACGAACUGCUAGAAUAAUUAGCAAGUAGGCAAAUUAACCUGUCUAAAAAGAUAAGCAAAUAAUUCCGCUAAAUACUCAGAAUGUGCGAAGUGUUCUGUUAAGGCAAAAGGUUGGUAAACCCUGCUGUAGAGUUAUUGAUGAUGAUUUAUAUAUAUAAACUAAAUAUUUGGAUGCAUCAUCUAAAACAAAGAAACUGCAAACUGUCCUCCCUGAAUGCUCACCUAAAUUAUUUGUGUGUUCUGUUCCAUAUCAGUGUGGACUGUAGACAGCAACAAACUGUUUACUUCUUGUUUUCUUUUUGCCUAUUUUAUUUGUUAAAUGCUAAACCUAACUGGGGGACGUGGUGGCAGAGAGGUAGAGCGCUUGGCUUCUAAACCAAGGGGUCUCAUGAUCAAAUCCCUUCAUAAUUUUAAGGGCACCACCAAGACCCACCCAAUUCAAAUGGCUACCUGACGUAAGAUAGGGAAGUAAAUGCGUUUGGCCGUUGUGCAGGUCACAUGACAGCCGUCACCUUAAUUGUUGGCAAUUGAAACAGAUGACCCUUAAAUCUUCUGCAAUAGCACUAUCACAAGGUCAGCAAGAAGUAAUUUUCUUAACAUGGAUUUUUUUAGAUGAUGUAAAGGUCAUCUGUUUCUAUGGCCGACGGUUAGUGAGGGUUUCAUGACUGACCGCUUUACUUUCCCCAACUAAUAUCAGGUACCCAUUAGAGUUGGGUGGACUAAAACUUAAAAUCCUGAAAGAAAAAAUCCGAGUUUUCAACAAGAUUUGAACCCCGUGCUCCUUGGUUUGGAAGCCAAGCGCUUCAAUUCUGAAGCAGCAUCCAAAGAUUGUAUAACAUAUAACUAACUUUUUGUUUUCAUUCCAAAUCUGUUCUACAAAUAGCCCUAAAUAUAGCUUAAUUUUAUUUAACAUUCAUAUUGAUGUUUUGUAUGAUGUAUUAUGUUGUUUGUUUUAUUUUAUGGAGGUUGGAAUCUUUUGUUGAUGGAUCUAAUUUACUAUUUAAUUGAAAGGAAAACAAACAAACACAAUCAAAUCUGUAAAUCAAUGAAAGAAAAUAAAUAUAUUUAUUGUCUCCCUUGUUAUAAGGUACGAAGUCUGUUUAAAUUGUUAUAAAGAAUUUCUGAUUUUUCUUUAUAAAAGUUGCCACAGAAAUAAAUUUGAAAGUAUCUGGACAAAGUCACAUCAUAGUGUUACUUGUACAUAAAGUCUUGUAUCUAUUUCAACAAAAAAUGUGUUGCUUGUUAAACUAUUUACAAAUAUGUAUUAAAUUUAACUGAUUUUAUUGUCUGGAAAUUAAA
rnacentral:sRNA from 1 species